rnacentral:rRNA from 1 species
AACGAACGCUGGCGGCAGGCUUAACACAUGCAAGUCGAACGCCCCGCAAGGGGAGUGGCAGACGGGUGAGUAACGCGUGGGAACAUACCCUUUCCUGCGGAAUAGCUCCGGGAAACUGGAAUUAAUACCGCAUACGCCCUACGGGGGAAAGAUUUAUCGGGGAAGGAUUGGCCCGCGUUGGAUUAGCUAGUUGGUGGGGUAAAGGCCUACCAAGGCGACGAUCCAUAGCUGGUCUGAGAGGAUGAUCAGCCACAUUGGGACUGAGACACGGCCCAAACUCCUACGGGAGGCAGCAGUGGGGAAUAUUGGACAAUGGGCGCAAGCCUGAUCCAGCCAUGCCGCGUGAGUGAUGAAGGCCUUAGGGUUGUAAAGCUCUUUCACCGAUGAAGAUAAUGACGGUAGUCGGAGAAGAAGCCCCGGCGAACUGCGU